UAGGUUUUUGUCUGAAUCAGAUACUAUUCCUGAGGGGUUGUUAGAUCCUGUUUGGUGUAGGAAUAGAAGGUGGACUGCUGCUAGGGCUGAAAUAAUGAAUGGGAGAAUAAAGCGAAAGGCAAAGAAUCGUGUCAGGGUGGCUUUGUCUACUGAGAAUCCUCCUCAUAUUUAUUCUACUAAAUUAGUUCCGAUGUAGGGGAUUUCUGAUAGGAGGUUGGUGAUGACAGUAGCUCCUCAGAAGGAUAUUUGGCCUCAUGGUAGAACCUAACC